rnacentral:rRNA from 1 species
UACAGAGAGUGCAAGCGUUAAUCGGAAUUACUGGGCGUAAAGCGCGCGUAGGUGGAUACUUAAGUCGGAUGUGAAAUCCCUGGGCUUAACCUAGGAAUUGCAUCUGAUACUGGGUAUCUCGAGUGUGGUAGAGGGAAGUGGAAUUUCCGGUGUAGCGGUGAAAUGCGUAGAUAUCGGAAAGAACACCAGUGGCGAAGGCGGCUUCCUGGACCAACACUGACACUGAGGCGCGAAAGCCAGGGGAGUAAACAGG